rnacentral:rRNA from 1 species
GACGAACGCUGGCGGCGUGCUUAACACAUGCAAGUCAAGGGGGCCCAGCAAUGGGCAACCGGCGAACGGGUGCGUAACACGUGAGCAACCUACCGAAAUGCGGGGGAUAGCCGGCCUAACGGCCGAGUAAUACCGCAUACGCUCUUAAUGAGGCAUUUCAUUGAGAGGAAACCUACGGGGUAUUUCGAGGGGCUCGCGGCCUAUCAGCUAGUUGGCGAGGUAACGGCUCACCAAGGCAACGACGGGUAGCUGGUCUGAGAGGAUGGCCAGCCACAUUGGGACUGAGAUACGGCCCAGACUCCUACGGGAGGCAGCAGUGGGGAAUCUUGCGCAAUGGGCGAAAGCCUGACGCAGCCAUGCCGCGUGUAUGAUGAAGGUCUUAGGAUUGUAAAAUACUUUCACCGGGGAAGAUAAUGACGGUACCCGGAGAAGAAGCCCCGGCUAACUUCGUGCCAGCAGCCGCAGUAA